UACGGAGGGUGCAAACGUUGCUCGGAAUCAUUGGGCGUAAAGCGCACGUAGGCGGCUUUGCAAGUCGGAUGUGAAAGCCCUCGGCUCAACCAAGGAAGUGCAUCCGAAACUGCAGAGCUUGAGUACUUAAGAGGAUCGCGGAAUUCCCGGUGUAGAGGUGAAAUUCGUAGAUAUCGGGAGGAACACCAGUGGCGAAGGCGGCGAUCUGGGAAGAUACUGACGCUGAGGUGCGAAAGCGUGGGGAGCAAACAGG
rnacentral:rRNA from 1 species